GUGUUUGUAACUUAAUGGAUAAAGUGUUAAACUACGAAUUUAAAAAUGAAAGUUCAACUCUUUCCAAACACA
rnacentral:tRNA from 1 species